rnacentral:rRNA from 1 species
UACGAACCGUCCAAACGUUACUCGGAAUCACUGGGCUUAAAGGGUGCGUAGGCCGCGCGGAGGGUGGGAUGUGAAAUCCCCCGGCGUCAACCGGGGAAUAGCGUCCCAAACCGCCGUGCUCGAGGGAGACAGAGGUGAGCGGAACUGAUGGUGGAGCGGUGAAAUGCGUUGAUAUCAUCAGGAACACCAGUGGCGAAAGCGGCUCACUGGGUCUUUCCUAACGCUGAGGCACGAAAGCUAGGGGAGCGAACAGG